UACGUAGGGUGCAAGCGUUGUCCGGAAUUAUUGGGCGUAAAGAGCUCGUAGGCGGUUUGUUGCGUCGGCUGUGAAAUCCCGAGGCUCAACCUCGGGUCUGCAGUCGAUACGAGCAAACUAGAGUGUUGCAGGGGAGACUGGAAUUCCUGGUGUAGCGGUGAAAUGCGCAGAUAUCAGGAGGAACACCGGUGGCGAAGGCGGGGUCUCUGGGCCGAUACUGACGCUGGAGGAGCGAAAAGCGU
rnacentral:rRNA from 1 species